AUUGAACGCUGGCGGCAGGCCUAACACAUGCAAGUCGAGCGGAGCGGCGGACGGGUGCGUGAUGCUUAGGAAUCUGCAUGGUAGUGGGGGAUAACGUCCGGUAACGGGCGCUAAUACCGCAUCCUUUCAGUUGAGCCUAGGUCGGAUUAGCUAGUUGGUGGGGUAAAGGCCUACCAAGGCGACGAUCCGUAACUGGUCUGAGAGGAUGAUCAGUCACACUGGAACUGAGACACGGUCCAGACUCCUACGGGAGGCAGCAGUGGGGAAUAUUGCACAAUGGGCGCAAGCCUGAUGCAGCCAUGCCGCGUGUAUGAAGAAGGCCUUCGGGUUGUAAAGUACUUUCGUCAGGGAGGCGGUACCCGAAGAAGAAGCACCGGCUAACUACGUGCCAGCAGCCGCGGUAAUUC
rnacentral:rRNA from 1 species